UACGAAGGGUGCAAGCGUUACUCGGAAUUACUGGGCGUAAAGCGUGCGUAGGUGGUUCGUUAAGUCUGAUGUGAGAGCCCUGGGCUCAACCUGGGAAUGGCAUUGGAAACUGGCGACCUAGAGUGCGGUAGAGGGUAGUGGAAUUCCCGGUGUAGCAGUGAAAUGCGUAGAGAUCGGGAGGAACAUCUGUGGCGAAGGCGACUGCCUGGACCAGCACUGACACUGAGGCACGAAAGCGUGGGGAGCAAACAGG
rnacentral:rRNA from 1 species